CAUUGGUGUGCCCGCUUAUGAGGGACUCGCAAUCAUUAAGCUAACACAUCAAUACAA
rnacentral:pre_miRNA from 1 species